UGAGUACGAGCUGCUACGGCAGCGAAGUGGGUGAUGUCAAGCUUCCAAGAAAAGCCCUAUACCCGUUAAGGCAUGAUGGCCUGUACCCGAAACCGACACAGGUGGGGUGGUAGAGAAUACCGAGGGGCGCGAGAUAACUCUCUCUAAGGAACUCGGCAAAAUGGCCCCGUAACUUCGGGAGAAGGGGUGCCACCGCAAGGUGGUCGCAGUGAAGAGGCCCAGGCGACUGUUUACCAAAAACACAGGUCUCCGCUAAGUCGCAAGACGAUGUAUGGGGGCUGACGCCUGCCCAGUGCCGGAAGGUUAAGGAAGCUGGUCAGCGUAAGCGAAGCUAGCGACUGAAGCCCCGGUGAACGGCGGCCGUAACUAUAACGGUCCUAAGGUAGCGAAAUUCCUUGUCGGGUAAGUUCCGACCCGCACGAAAGGCGUAACGAUCUGGGCGCUGUCUCGGAGAGAGGCUCGGCGAAAUAGAAUUGUCUGUGAAGAUGCGGACUACGUGCACCCGGACAGAAAGACCCUAUGAAGCUUUACUGUAGCUUGGUAUUGUGCCCGGGCUCUGAAUGCGCAGGAUAGGUGGGAGGCUUUGAUCCAUUGCUUGUGGGUGAUGGUGAGCCAACGGUGAGAUACCACUCUUUCAGAGCUAGGGUUCUAACGGUCACCCGUCAUCCGGGGACCGGACAGUAUCAGGUGGGCAGUUUGACUGGGGCGGUCGCCUCCUAAAAGGUAACGGAGGCGCGCAAAGGUUUGCUCAGGCUGGUUGGAAAUCAGCCGACGAGUGUAAAAGCAGAAGCAAGCUUGACUGUGAGACCUACAAGUCGAACAGGGACGAAAGUCGGCUUUAGUGAUCCGACGGUUCUGAGUGGAAGGGCCGUCGCUCAACGGAUAAAAGUUACUCUAGGAUAACAGGCUGAUCUCCCCCAAGAGUUCACAUCGACGGGGAGGUUUGGCACCUCGAUGUCGGCUCAUCGCAACCUGGGGCUGAAGUCGGUCCCAAGGGUUGGGCUGUUCGCCCAUUAAAGCGGUACGCGAGCUGGGUUCAGAACGUCGUGAGACAGUUCGGUCCAUAUCCGGUGCAUGCGCAGGAAUAUUGAGAGGAUUUCUCCCUAGUACGAGAGGACCGGGAGGAACGCACCUCUGGUGUGCCAGUUAUCGUGCCAACGGUAAACGCUGGGUAGCCAUGUGCGGAGAGGAUAACCGCUGAAAGCAUCUAAGUGGGAAGCCCACCUCAAGAUGAGUAUUCCCAUGGCGUUAGCCAGUAAGGUCACGGGCAGAACACCCGUUGAUAGGCUCUACGUGGAAGCCGGGUAACCGGUGAAGCGGAGGAGUACUAAUAGACC
rnacentral:rRNA from 1 species